GUCUUGAGCUCACCGUGCUGUUUUCUUUAUUGUUUAAACUCGCACUCUCGUUAUCUUCAACUGUGUUUCUUUGAUUUCCGGACUUAAAGUUGAUCAUCUUGGGCGUUUGAUACAUAUCUGACAGAGGUAUCCAGUGGUAUACGAGUGACAAGCUUCAUUACUGAGGCAUUGAAUCUACUUCCUAACUGUGUUAUUACGAAUCAAGAAGAACCUAGUACACAAAUUUCAAGUACUGGACCCAGGCCUGCAAUCAUUCAGCGUUUAUAACUUCUUCCUAUUAACUGUAAAGCUCAACACCAACCUUUACAUUAAGAUAUAUCAAUUGAUCAACAAUGGAUAACUAUUUGGAAAUAGGCAAACAAAUAUACGAAGAAUAUUGCUCAACGGCUGAAAACCUGCCCACAAUGCUUCCAAGAGCACCAGAGCAGACCUACAUUGAUGUAUAUCCAGAUGAAGAUCAGCCCGGUCUCAGCUUUACAGAUGACGUCAGACGACAUCAAUUAGGCUACGAGACCGAAGUUAAGGUGUAUAGGGCUUUAGAAGAGGUAGAUGGAAACUUUAUUGUUCUUCACAGCUUCAAUUACACGCAUCAUCAAUAUCGUUUGUGUGCAGGUAAAAGUCAUAUCCGAAGAAGAUGUUCUAAAUGUAAAGGCAAGAAUGCAGAAAAUCAGGAGGGGGUUUGUGACUUUCUCAUCAUUUGUGCGGACAGUUUCAUUAUCAUCGAGGUAAAGAACAUGGAUAAUGUUGGAGAGGUUGUGGAAUGUGAACCAGACUUCCACCUGUGUUCAAUUGGCGAGGACUGGCAACCUCAGUGUAACAGAGACCAGCAGUUGAAAGCAUUGAAUGGAACGUUCCAGAAAUCAGUCAAACAAAGAAACAAGAUUGUUGAACUGAUCGAGUGUAUGGAUAAAGAUGCAAAAAUUCUUCAGUUCACUGCCUAUCCUAAUUUUAGUAAACAGUUUAAAGAUGAGUUUCAAUUUAGUGAGAUGACAGGACUCCGGUUAAGUGAUGAUGAACUGUCGACUAUCAUAUUUGAAGAAGAUUUAUCCACUUUUAAUGCUUGGUGGAAAGACAAUGUAACUGUGGCCAUAUCAUCCGUCAGAAGAUUUCCUGAAGAAACGGUAUCGAAUACAGAAAUGCCAAUAUCUGGAUACAACCAGGAUUCUCAUGAGAAAGCAAGGAACAUUUUACUAGCCAUAUGGGCCACAGAAAUACGCAGGUGUGAUAAAUCCAAGUGCAGUUUAGCACGAUGUAUUUUUGAUAUCAACAAACAACUUAGGGAAGGUCGCAUUACUUUCGAGCCUAAAAGAGGUGAACAACGUAAUCAUAAUCCCGGUGUGGUAAAAGCUCCUGAUGUCAUAAGCCGCUAUGUUGGAAUUUUAAACCUCACUAUAGAACAAAGUGUAGUGUUCGAAAGAGACGAAAACCUGCAAUGGAUAAAUGGACCUGCGGAGGCAGGUAGAACUGUAAUAUUAUGUGGUAAAAUGUUACAACUUAUACAAUCUGACGCGAAUAAUAAAGUUGUGUUAUUAAAAUACAAUGGAGAGGGCAACAACUCUCAACAUUAUCAGAGUGCAUUGAAAAAUUGUAGUGUAGAAUACGAGGUGAUUAACUAUCGCAAUUUUGAUGAUCGAGUAGCAGAGAGCAACUGUCCAGUUAUCAUAGUCGAGAUAACACGUUAUCUUCAUGUGCAACAAUUGAUUGAACGACUCAGUGGAGUUAGUGACCGUCAUUUGUUUUUGGACGAUGUACAGGUGACUUGGUACCGUAGCACAGCUGAAGAGUGUACUGAUCUAAUAGAUUUGUUGUUAGAGUUGUCGUCAAAUAAAUGUGUAUGGAUAGGGUGUGACUUUUCACAGGCUUGGGUAUUUCUAGGCCCAAAGUAUACUAUAGAUUUCGCUAAUGUACUGGUUCGCAAACUAUCGACUAGUCAGCGAGCAAAUUUAUCGAGAAGUCUUACAAUUAGCAGUGAUUUGUACAAUAUUCUAUAUGUGAUAAGAGAUACAUUUAUUAGACUGUCUAGGCUAUCUUCUGACUCUGAGAGAUUUGAUGAUGUUCUUUUGGAAAUUGUAUCACCCGACCUCGCACAAGGGCAUUUUAUUCAUGGGCCAAUACCCGUCAUACAUGCUUUCAAUAACUAUGAUAUAGGACCGAUUGGUCAUGCAUUUUGUAUUGAAUUAGAUGAAAUGUGUAAAAAUGAUGAAAUGAAUUAUUCUGAAAUGGGUAUCGUUUACAAUGAUGACAGGAGAGAUAUAAGAAUGUUAAUUAAAGACGUUGUUGAUAGACGAUGUAUUAACUCUGAAUAUAAGAUAGCAAUUUGCCACAGUAGGAAGAGUUUUUCUGCUGAGUGGCCAGCAGUAAUUGUAUUGCACAAAGUGUGCAGGUACAUUGAGAAAGACUUGAUCACACUUCAAUUAGAAAUAUCCAGAGCCCGUGUUUACUGCUCUGUUCUUUUAUACCCAGAGAAGGGUAAAGAUUUAGGCGAUUAUGGACAUAUUUCAGAUAUUUUAGAUAAACUGAAGGGUCGUGCACGCAUUUUAAAAUAUUGAAUUUGCAGUUCGCACUGCUCUUGAAGAUGUUUCAUAAAAUGAUAAAUAUAUGGCAUGGAUUUUUCUGAACGAUCUUCUUUUAUAGAUCACAAAACAUAUUUUAUAAGCUCAAACAUCAAAGGAGCGUUCCUUAAUAAUAUUUAUCAGUGUUUACUGCUCUGUUCUUUUAUACCCAGAGAAGGGUAAAGAUUUAUACGAUUAUGGAGUAUGGAUAUAUGGCCAUGGGGUCGUUCACAUAUUACGUAAUCACUGAGCGGGAGGGGGGCUUCUAAAUGAUUACGCUAGUGUAAUUUUGACACAAUAGCUAUGUGUAAAACUGAUUAAGGAGGGGGAGAGGGGGUCAAAAUUGACCAAAAGGUGAUUACGUAUUAUGUGAAUGGUCCCAUAUUUCAAAUCUUUAAAUAAACUGGAUGAUCGUGCAAGCAUUUUUCCCUGAAGUUUUUAUUGAAAAGUAAGUUCAAUAAACUUCUUUCCCCUGAUCUGAGCAUCUUUCCGUGCUUAACUUAUCGCUCCUAACCUUCCCAAUGAUAUUGGGCGACUAAUCUUAUGUAAAGUAUGAGUUUUGCCAGUCAUGAAAACUAAUAAUCUUUAACUGAUAAUUUUGAAAUACUAGAAGCUAGUGUAUCUUAGUUAUUAUUUUGACAACCUUGACUUAUAUGGAAUUACUUUUUUACUUUUGUGUUAAAUUUGAUUGAGAGUUGAGAAAUUUGUAAAAAUUUUACAUGUUUUUGAUAA